rnacentral:lncRNA from 1 species
GCAGUUCCUGUUCCUUCUUUGCUUGGGUAUCUUCACAAGCCUGCAUUGUGUUGGCAUCCAAGUAAGCUCUGUUAGAAGACAGUAUCAUGAGAAUGUGGAUCUAGAAAAGAAGGAGCUGUGAAAUUCUGAAAACAUGCUCUACUACUUGGCUUCACAUUUUGAAACUGAAGAAAAAUUCCAUUUCUUCAUCUCAGAGAACUCCUAAACCUACUCAUUAUGAAGACUUUUUUGAUUCAACUUUUUAUCCUUGAGUAUGACCAUUAAGUGUGUCUUCCUUUGCUACCCCUUAGGACAUGGAACAUCCAUCUGUGAAUUGUUAAUGUCGUCUGUGAAGUGAUAAAGCAAUCUUUAGUUCUUGAGUGUAAAGUGAUUCUUA